GCGAGUAAGACCCUGCCCUAGUGGCUUGGUCAGUCCCAUCAUAUACACCUUUAUUCGUGAACUCGUGGUUCAGCUGGAUGAUGAAAGCUUCGGCGACUAGACGUCCAUCGGUUCCGCUCUUAUACCCUUUAUGUGAAGUCAAUGGAAAUUAUGAUAAUCUAAUA
rnacentral:misc_RNA from 1 species